rnacentral:rRNA from 1 species
AACGUAGGAGACAAACGUUAUCCGGAGUUACUGGGCGUAAAGGGCGUGUAGGUGGUUUCGUAAGUCUGGCGUGAAAUUUUUCGGCUUAACCGGGAAAGGUCGUCGGAUACUGCGGAGCUAGAGGACGGUAGAGGCGUGUGGAAUUCCUGGUGUAGCGGUGGAAUGCGCAGAUAUCAGGAGGAACACCGGUGGCGAAGGCGGGUCUCUGGGCAGUAACUGACGCUGAGGAGCGAAAGCGUGGGGAGCGAACAGG